GCGCUCGUGGCGGAACUGGUAGACGCGCUAGGUUCAGGUCCUAGUGAUCGAAAGGUCGUGGGGGUUCGACUCCCUUCGAGCGCACCA
rnacentral:tRNA from 1 species